rnacentral:tRNA from 1 species
GCAGAUAUGGCCGAGUGGUUAAGGCGACUGACUCGAAAUUAGUUUUCAUCUUGGAGCGUAGGUUCGAAUCCUACUAUCUGCG